UUGCGCAUGCGUCAGCUAGUUGCUCAAAGUCGACCCGGGAGCUUGGGCGCGAAGGGUCGCGCUGAAGCGUUCCCUCCUCUUCCUCCUCCUCCUCCUCUUCCCGAGUCCGCCAGCUGACGCGGACUGGAACUCUCCCGGAAGAGUCUUCAAAAUCUGGGGUGGAUUUUAUACCUACAGCACAUGUCAAUUCAGAUUAGCCCUACUUCAAGUACUCAUGUGGCUGUGUGAAGGUCUAGGAUAUGCCUCUCCUAGAAGAAGUUAACUGGGAGGCCAAGAUAAUAAUCAGAAGACUCUCUGUGCCGCUUGGCGUGUGGGAUCGAACCCACUCCCCCGGCAGUGGAAGCACGGAGUCUUAACCACUGGACUGCCAGGGAAGCCCCAUGUUGUUAUACUCUUGAAGGUAUUCCCAUAGCCCUGAUCCUCUGAAGCUGUGAUUUGACUUACAAGAGAAAAGAAGCCUUCAUCACUGGCCUGGAUGGAGCAGCCUGUGAUUAGAAAACCCUUUCUCCCUCUGCUACUUGCACCUGGAAUCGGAAGACCCUGUGGAAUGAGCUGUUCAGGUUUUCCUGGGAUGAGAGAUGAAAACCACCAGCACUUGUCCUGUUUAAAACUAAACAGUCAAAAGUAGCCUCAUAUGUUCCUUGGAAGACAUCUACCCUCCCUGACUGGAAGUAUUUCACAAAAGAAUCCCCACGUCUCAAGCUCUGAAAUAGGAAUUGUGUGCCCAGAGGUGACUUCAUCUAUCCGCCUGGUUCUCUCUUCCAUCCCCCACCCGAUCUCUGCUCUUGUAUCUGCCUAUCCUUCUGACUUGGCGCUGGACCCAGGGGGCUGACACAGACUCAUUCAGGUGAAUGGUUGCUCAUACACCCACCUUUCUUUCUUUCCACGUGGCCUGGCUUCUCCUGGGCUCUCCUCUAUCCUGGGCUCCCGGGUUUUGGACUAGGAAGUGACCAGAAGCCUUGAAGGCUUGUAGGUGAAAGUGGACAAGAUGCUGGCAGAGGGUAUCCCAGAACAAUUCCCAGAAACAUGGAAGCAGGGAUGCAGGGUGAUGCAUCACUCCUCUUCCCCUCCUUCCUCAGAGCUGAGACUAUCAGCAGAGGCCAGAAAUCUUGGAGAGGAAAGUGCUGGGUGUGUGUAUGUAGCCAGGGGAAGAGAGUUGCUUGUUCUGUUUUCCUUAGGGGAGGGGAGGAGAGGGGAACGGAAGGGGAGGGGAACGGAGGGGAAGGGAAGGGAAAGGGAGAUAUUCUGGCUUGGACACGACUGAUAAGGAGCUCUGGGGAGCAGAAGACAUUGACAGAGGUUAGCCCCUCAUAAGGCAGGGGUAGGAGAUGGGGUAAGGCAAGCAGUGAAACAAGCAUAUUCCAGUGCCCUGGGAAGAUGGACAACUCCAAGACCCUAGUUCUCCACUGUACUGUUUUUGCCCAUCUAAUUCCCACAGUCUCAUUUAUAAUUACCACUCACAAAAGUCAACCCGUUCCCCUGAUUCUUUCUCCUUAGCCCACAGAAAGGAAUUUUUCCCAUGCUUGCCAAAAAAAGAUGCCCUGAACUCUAUUUCCUCUACCAUGAGGUCUCCCUAAGGUCUAGUUUCUGUUCCUAUACAUCAGCUCCAUGAUCAUAACGUGCCCUUUGACUAAGAAUGAAGAAAACGAUUAUUAACAACAAAUACAGAAGGAUUUCUUUGGUGGGGACAGUUGCAAAAAAAGACGCAAAUUCUAGGGGAGAGGGUUAGGGGUUUCCUGCACUAACAUGUAAAUUACUGGGACUUCCCUGGUGGUCCAGAGGGUAAGACUCCGAGCUUCCCAAUGCGGGCGGCGGGUUCAAUCCCUGGUCAGGGAACUAGAUCCCUUAGUUGCAUCCCACGUGCAUGCUGCAACUAAGAGUCCGCAUGCCACAACUAAAGAUCCCACAGGAUGCAACGAAGAUCCUGUGCACCGCAACUAAGAUCCAUUGCAGCCAAAAUAAAUAAACAAAUAUUUUU